AAUGAACUCUGUUGUGCUCACCAUAUAAUGUCGGGAUAUGGCCGGCAGUUUCUACAUCUCACCGGAAAUGAGAUACUAUGGUGCUUCUUCUUUCAUGA
rnacentral:ncRNA from 2 species